CGGGACGUAGCGUAGCUUGGCUAGCGCGCCUGCUUCGGGUGCAGGAGGUCGUGAGUUCGAAUCUCACCGUCCCGACCA
rnacentral:tRNA from 1 species